UACGAAGGGGGCUAGCGUUGUUCGGAAUUACUGGGCGUAAAGCGUGCGCAGGCGGCUUCUCAAGUCAGGGGUGAAAGCCCAGAGCUCAACUCUGGAAUUGCCUUUGAGACUGAGUGGCUUGAGUACGAGAGAGGUGAGUGGAAUUCCCAGUGUAGAGGUGAAAUUCGUAGAUAUUGGGAAGAACACCGGUGGCGAAGGCGGCUCUCUGGACCGACACUGACGCUGAGGCGCGAAAGCGUGGGGAGCAAACAGG
rnacentral:rRNA from 1 species